rnacentral:tRNA from 1 species
ACCCUGUGGUACAGCGGCAAAGAUGCUGUGCUUUUGUGACUUCAGCCAGGGUUCGAUUCCUGGUCAGCGGA